rnacentral:tRNA from 1 species
GCCCCCUUGGCGAAAUUGGUAGACGCACGGCACUUAAAAUGCCGAGCCUUCGGGCGUCCCGGUUCGAGUCCGGGAGGGGGCACCA